rnacentral:lncRNA from 1 species
GCAAUUUUGUGUUUGUUUGCAAAUUUUCCUUUUUUUUCUACGAGACUCAUAUUCACUACUGUAUGAGUCUGAAGAACCAUCAGUAACAUUUUCAUUGUACACUGGAUCGGCAUCAGAAUCAUAAAACGUACUUUCAGACAUACUACUAUCACUAAAGUCACUCUCCUCAGCAAGUCUGCGAAGUUCGUCUUCCGAUAGUCCUUUACGGAACAUUAUCUUAUUUUUUAGUUCCACUUUUUAACAAAAAACUGAAGAGAAAAUAGUGUUAGCCUCGUUAGACGUUCGAACCGAUACUGACUGAAGCAUGUUAGAAAUUAUAACCUAACCUGUUUGUGAACACGUGGUUUAACGGACCAACCUCUGAUUUUGUUUACCACAGACCGUUUACACACAUUUAUACAUAAGAAAGCACGGCAAAUGCGAUCCUCGACGAGCCACGGCAUUAGGAACACGACACUUCGCUGUGGCCUGAUAGGUACACACGGUCCCAGAUAAAACUAGAGUGUGUGCCAGUGUGGUACACAUGGGGCUUAACGUGUUAUGAUAAUUUUUAAUGUUUGAAAGAGUUUUCACCUUAAGAUCAGAGGUUUUGCCCUGUAUCUAACUUUUGGCAUCUAUUGGCCACAUUUUGUAAUCUUUGGCAUCAUGUUAUACCUAAUCGUUUUUUUAAUAAUGGCAUAAUGCAACACUCACUUUUUCAUUGUUUGUAUGCUUUCUUUGUAGUUUAUUUAAACCUUUGCUGGAAAGGGUCAGUGUUUCGGCUUCAUAUUAUAUAACAGGAAGCAGACAAAGCACAAAGUACACAAACCGCGAAAAAAAUUAAAAAGUUUCAGAUCUGGAGAUCUUGGAGGACAAUUGAAUGGAUCACCUCUUCCAGUCGGACACAAGGUAGAACUGCAGAAAUGUGUCUAGCUAAAAAUGGCAAACACGUCUAGUGGAACUGGAUUUUUGGUUUCCUAAAUUUUUUUCAAGGAUGUGUCUUUACUCGAAGAUCGUAGUAAACGAGACAUAGGAGAGACUCGGCCAAACCAAAAAAAAAAAAAAAA